AUUGAACGCUGGCGGAAUGCUUUACACAUGCAAGUCGAACGGCAGCACGGGGCAACCUGGUGGCGAGUGGCGAACGGGUGAGUAAUAUAUCGGAACGUGCCCAAUCGUGGGGGAUAACGUAGCGAAAGUUACGCUAAUACCGCAUACGAUCUACGGAUGAAAGCGGGGGAUCGCAAGACCUCGCGCGAAUGGAGCGGCCGAUAUCAGAUUAGGUAGUUGGUGGGGUAAAGGCUCACCAAGCCAACGAUCUGUAGCUGGUCUGAGAGGACGACCAGCCACACUGGAACUGAGACACGGUCCAGACUCCUACGGGAGGCAGCAGUGGGGAAUUUUGGACAAUGGGGGAACCCUGAUCCAGCCAUGCCGCGUGCAGGAUGAAGGCCUUCGGGUUGUAAACUGCUUUUGUACGGAACGAAAGGUCUUUUCUAAUAAAGAAGGCUGAUGACGGUACCGUAAGAAUAAGCACCGGCUAACUACGUG
rnacentral:rRNA from 1 species